rnacentral:rRNA from 1 species
UACGUAGGUGGCAAGCGUUGUCCGGAUUUACUGGGCGUAAAGCGCGUGUAGGCGGCUUUGCAAGUCGGGUGUGAAAGCCCUCGGCUCAACCGAGGAAGUGCGCCCGAAACUGCAGAGCUUGAGUACCGGAGAGGAUGGCGGAAUUCCCCAAGUAGAGGUGAAAUUCGUAGAUAUGGGGAGGAACACCGGUGGCGAAGGCGGCCAUCUGGACGGAUACUGACGCCGAGACGCGAAAGCGUGGGGAGCAAACAGG